rnacentral:lncRNA from 1 species
UUGUUGUAGGGGUUGAGGCUCUGGAAGUAGCGGUCGAACUGGCGGACAGGCUGGGAGGCCAGCUCCAGGGUGAUGGCGCCGUAGGCCACAUGCUCGCUGCCCUUGAUGAUGCUCUCCUGCGCGCCCCAGCCGUCGCUGGCCACCCAGGUGAAGGAGGCAUUGGCGCGGCUGGCGGCUGCAAUGAGCUCCCGCGAGUCGUCGCUGCGCAUGAAGAGGACCACGACGCGCGCGUUGGGCUUCUGCAACAGUUCUCGGAUCACGCUGUCGUAGGACUUGCGGAUGUUGGAGCGGCCCACCUUCUCCGCCGUAGCGAUGCAGAUGUUGCGCAGGCGGGCUUCCUGCUCGAAGGCCUCGAUCCCUGUCUCCCCGUAAUCACCCUCGGAGGCUACUGUGGACACAUGGCUACAUUUUUCUGUUAGUUCUUGAGAUGAAUACCAGAUGCUUCCUUGGAUACUGUAUUUUGGACACUAGGAAGCAGGUCUCACACAGGACUAGGAGACUCUGGACAAAAUGGCCUAUACUGACUUAUUUAGGCAUAGGAAUAUUGCUUCACUCAGCCUGACUGAAAUGGCAGGUGUCACCAAACAGGUACUGUCAUUACUUCUAGAAUGAGUGCCUGGCUUCCACUGGAUUUAUGUACCACUAUGGAAGGCUUGGUGAUAGGAGCCCUGUCUAUGCAUAGCUUGACUUUGUUAAGAGGUUUCUGGCUAGCACUGGAGAGGCCAUCUCUUCUUGAUACAAUGAUUUUCUCAUCUUCAAGUUAUAUUAAUCAGGACCUGAACCCCUCAGGGAGACAGAGAAUGAAAGGACCUAAAAAAUAUCUGGACAUUAUUUUCUGGCAGCGAAGAAUCACAGUGAAACAAUCCUAAACUGCUGAAAUUUCCUCUCCCAUAGGGGUAGGAGUAAUGAGAAACUGCUCAA